GCGAAUGCGAACUUUGGCUGUGUUCCGAUAUUCACAGCCAAAGUCUGGUUGUAGUGUGGUGAACGCAUGUGUCUCAUAUCUAAAACGACUUCAGCCUACAUAAUUGUCCUACAUAAUUGUAAUAGGAUAUUUAUUAAAAGUGAAAGAGAAUAGAAGAAAAAAGGUAAUCGAGGAUUAGGUAUAGUGAAAAUGAAUCAAUCGCACAGAAAACGAAAGAAGCUUCAUCUGGAUCCGACGUACGACAGAAGAUUGUUAUCAAUAUCAACUCGUCGUAAAUGGAAUAAAAUACUUAACACAGUUUUACCAAGGAUACUACUUAAUGCAAACAAAGAAGGUCAUAUGAAUGAUUAUGCUGAAAAUGAACCUGAGAAUGUGCAACCAGAAGACGAAGAUAGCUGCAAC